rnacentral:rRNA from 1 species
AAUCAACGCUGGCGGCGUGCCUAACACAUGCAAGUCGAACGCGAGAGGGGCUUCGGCCCCGAUUGAGUGGCGAACGGGUGAGUAACGCGUGGGUGACCUACCUUCGAGUGGGGAUAACGUCCCGAAAGGGACGCUAAUACCGCAUAACAUCCUGCUUUUGAAUGGGUGGAGAUCAAAGCCGGGGAUCGCAAGACCUGGCGCUUGAUGAGGGGCCCGCGUCUGAUUAGCUAGUUGGGAGGUAACGGCCCACCAAGGCAACGAUCAGUAUCCGGCCUGAGAGGGCGGACGGACACACUGGGACUGAGACACGGCCCAGACUCCUACGGGAGGCAGCAGUGGGGAAUUGUUCGCAAUGGGCGCAAGCCUGACGACGCAACGCCGCGUGGAGGAUGAAGGUCUUCGGAUUGUAAACUCCUGUUGCCCGGGACGAAUGGCUCCGACCUAACACGUCGGAGUGUGACGGUACCGGGUGGAGGAAGCCCGGCUAACUCUGUGCCAGCCGCCGCCGUAAC